UCAAACCCGGGCCCCCAGCAGUGGAAGCGCAGAGCCCUAACCACUGGACUACCAGGGUUUUUUAUCUAUAUAUAUGUUUGUUUGUUUUUUCCUGCCUUUCUCUUGAUGAGUUGCAGUGUGAGUUCUGGAAAACUCUAGAGACAAGUGCUCCUGAAAUUGGGGGAUGGGAGAAAUGACUUUGACCCUGGCUCAGCAGUGGGUGACCUGGGCCACUCUCCUCCCCUGCAUCUAUCCCUCUUCUUCCGAGAUGCUUUGAGACACCUGCAUCUCCCGCCCCCAGCUCUGCUGCCCUCGUGGUCCCUCUGAGCUGGUGGAGCCCAGCUGAUCUCACCCACUGGAGAGCUCACAGCCCUGGGAGGAGGGCCGGGGAGGAGAACGACUCAAGUCCAGAAGGGCCGACGUUCUGAAGUUGUGCCACGUUUUAAGAGGAAAACGUGGAGGAAGUUGAAAUCUAUACUGUGACUGCUCUUCGCUCCUUCUCUGCCCCGGAGUCACCACAGGACACAAGCCACGCUUCGUGCUGACCGGGCUGUUCUCAGAACCACCCCGUUUCUUAUUCAAGAAGUGGAUUCAGAAGAUAACCGAAGGUGAUUCCACCAAAUCCUCAGUGACGAAUGUUUCAUGAGCCUGGACCCGAAUGCUGCUUGGCUGCAGGGGUCCCACCUCGUCAGGCUGUAGGGGUCUGCAGAGGACUGGGUGGUGGGGACAGCCAUUCCUGGCGGGGGGCCUGGCUCAUGCCUCCCUUCACCAUGCCCGGGACUUCAGGCCUGCCCCCCAGAGGAUACAAAUCCAUUCCGUAUAAAAGCUACCGGCUGUCCCUGUGUCCCUGCUCAGGAGGGGGACAGAGCCCAGCCACCAGUCGGGCACCUGAGUGCCUGGUGGCCCUGCCUGGGGAGGGGCCCUGGCAUCCUGACAGCACUGGCUCUCGCAUACUCCAGCGUCUCCCAUUUGGGUCAAGAAGAGCUUGUUCUGUGUCUGGGUGGUCGUCUGUUGAUUGGCCCCGGCGUCCACCCCUGGGCAGUGACGGACGUCUGCAGGACAGCAGGAUCAGCAGUGCCUCAGGUCCAAAUCUUGU